rnacentral:rRNA from 1 species
UACGUAGGGGGCAAGCGUUGUCCGGAUUUACUGGGCGUAAAGCGCGUGUAGGCGGCGCGUCAAGUCGGGUGUGAAAGCCCGGGGCUCAACCCCGGGGAUGCCGCCUCGAAACUGGCGCGCUUGAGGGCGGAAGAGGGGAGUGGAAUUCCUGGUGUAGCGGUGGAAAUGCGUAGAGAUCAGGAGGAACACCCGUGGCGAAGGCGGCUCCCUGGUCCGUCCCUGACGCUGAGACGCGAAAGCGCGGGGAGCGAACGGG